rnacentral:rRNA from 1 species
AUGGCGAUCUCCAAGCUCAUCGCAUUGUUCUUCGCUUUCGCGGCCGUGGCGGCGACGCUGCCGCCGUCCGAAGCGAGGGUCCAGGGGUUCACGACCACAACCGGGAACCAAGAAGAAACAGACCCUUCGUCCAAGGCCGCCGCCCAGGCCGGAGGCGCCCCCGGCUUCUCCCUGCCGUUGCCUCAGAUCCCCGGCCUUCCGCCAUUGUUCGGCGGCUUCCCCUUCCCGCCGCUGCCUCAGAUCCCCGGCCUUCCACCGUUGUUCGGGCCGCUCCCCGGCGCGCCAGGCGCUCCACCAUCUCCCGGCAUCCCACACUUUCCGCCCAGCGCUGGCUCUGCUGCCGCCCCUGCGCCGCCACCGCCCGCAGAGUGCCUGACGCCGUUGAUGCAGAUGGCGCCGUGCGUGGACUACCUCACCAACAUCACCGUCGUCGCGCCCCCGUCCACGUGCUGCGACGGCCUCAAGUCGGUCAUCAGCGGCGCGCCCAUCUGCCUCUGCCACGGCAUGAACGGCGGCAUGAGCAAGCUCUUCCCCAGGCCCAUCGAUCCGAUCCGGAUGCUCAUCCUGCCGCUCAGGUGCGGCGCCAUGCUGCCACUAGGGACGCUUCUCACGUGCUCCACUCAAACCCUACCGCCGCUGGCUCCUCCUAGUUCCACUCCAGCGCCCCCUGCUUCUCCCGUGUCUCCGGCGCCUGCUAGUUCGCCCGUGUCAACACCUACAGAGGCAUCCCCAUAA